GCUCUCAAAGGUGACUGGUACGGGCAUGUGCUCCGUGUCAAGCCCCUACUGGCUUUCGGCGUUUUAAUAGUAUACCCUUAUCUCUUGCAGCAGCCCGGCCGGCCACACCCACGCUCCCGAUCCCCCAAUUUCGGGACCAAGACCGGCGCUGCGCUGCGCUGAGCCGGUCGCGCCAGCCAGCCAGCCAGCCUAGCUGUAGUUAGUGGGAGUGGGAGUGGAGUGGGGCGCCGCGGCCAGCGAUGCCGGCCUCGCUGCAGCCAGAGCGAGCACGAGGCCGAGGCCGGCGCGAGGGGAGGAACCCUAGAGUGUCCCUGCUGGUGCUCUGGCCCACCUCCACCUCGAUCGACCCCCUUGGCCUAUAAAUCUGCACGGCCGGUACACAGCACUGACCUCCUCUCCUCCUCGAUCGAUCGAUCUUUCGGUCUUUCCAAGCCUAAACUAACGCCCGUUUCUUUCGCAUGGGCCCGUCGUCUUGGCCGUGGUGGUUGCGCCGUGCCGGAGGGGUGAUGGUAUGCGGUGGGGGCGUUGGGAGUGAAGCGCGGCGAGCGGGGUGGCGCCGGCCGGCCGGGCGCGCGCGCGGUGACAGAAGAGAGUGAGCACACGGCCGGGCGGGACGGCACCCGCCGGAUGGUGCCGUCGCGGCCGCGUGCUCACUGCUCUAUCUGUCACCAGCUGCUUCUUCGGGUUUCCGUCGACCCCCGGCCGGCCCGCCUCCGCCGUUCGUGCCCAGCCCUCUCGCUCUCGCUGCAUGCCCAGCGCGCGGACCACACGGCUUCCAGCUGUACCAUUUCUUUCACAUCUUACAGGCGAAUGAAUGAGCGAUAGUACUGUUUAAUUUCAUCCCAUUAUCGAUCCAUCUAGUUUGAUAUCUUGAAAAUGUCAUCCAUAUGCGUGUGAUUUUGAGUCAUUUUCUGUUUGAUUCGAGUAGGUAGGUAGCGCAUGUACUAGCUGAUGGUUUUCCCUCCCAUGCCUCGUACGACGCCGUUCGUUCAUCUUUCCCGAGGAGCCUGCCCUAUUCCACCUUUUCUGCUCCCCUUUCUUGGGAAGGAGAUGCAUAUUCAUUGCGCCAUUGAUGGAUCUCGGAGCACGAGCAUCGAUCACGACGCAGGAAUCUACUCCUCCUCCAAGGACAGGUACAGUUAACAAACAGUUCAACGAAGCACCAGCGCCCAGAGUUCACAUGCAAACUGCUUCAGUCAGACAGGAGCUCUAGCAUGGGUUUAAUUUGAUCUGACGGUGGAUGCAUGGAUAGCACACCACGGCCACACAGAUCUGCUGCUGCUGCCAUUUUCCACUACCAUCAGGUCAGUACUUAUCUUGUGCUGUCUGCUGUCCUUUCUGUUCUUCAGAAUUACUAUUGCACAUCGCUAGCUGGGUGGUAUUCAAAGUAUGAGUAAUGAUGCAACGAUACGUUGUCCCCUAGCUGUGGCUCCACAAAUGUAGGAUACACUGUUGUGUUACUGUUCCAUUGAUGGCGCUCGUACAUGCACGCUAUCGUCACAAUCCCUCGCCCCACCUUGCAUGUUUGACCCGAGCUUGGGCCGGCAUGGCUCCUGUGCACUGGGAGAAAUUUCAACAGACUGUUCCUGGUGGAUCAUAUAAUCUUGCAGAGGGAGAGUUGCAGCUGCAAAAGAAUGUUUUUUUUUGUUGAGCAAAAGUUUUCGGUUUAUAAGAUUUAAUAAGAUUAAAUAGCUAGGCGAGUUGGCUGCUUCUAGCAAUUGAUCUGCUUGCAAAUUAAGUUAUUAUGUUAUUGUUUCAUCUGUUGGUAAACGUUAUAGGUGUGGAGAAGUUUCCUGUGCAAAUCUAUGUAUAGCACACACAAGCUCACCACGUACCAGCUGGUUUUUCAUACUCCUAUAUAGCUCAUUUCUAGGUUGAAAUGCCGAAGCCCCCAUUUCGAAAUAUAAGACUCAUUAGACAAGGUUUUCACGAAUAAUUAUCUCAUUAAUAUGCAAUUAUUGGUGUGAUACUCAUUUCGAAAAUUAUGAUCAUAAGUAAAUGCUAAUUUUGAAAACGGAUCCACAGUGACAUUAGAUUCAUGUCAAAUAAACCAAGUAUAUAUUAACAUAGCAUUUGUGUGUGUGUGUGCGCGUGUGUGGGCGCGCGCACGCGUGUGUGUCAGAGCCUCCUCAUAAUGAAACAACAAUAUGAUUUAUAUUUUGAAAUUGAUAAUGUAAUCAGCCAGCUGUUCAUCGUUUUCCUUUCGAAAUGAAGAGAUAGAUUUGGUAUGAUGAGUAUCUAAGUUUGAGCUUACUAAGUUGCAAUAUUUCAUGCUUUAUGUUUAUGUGGCUAGAAAGUGGCGUGGGUCUUUAGACUGCUGCCCUACAUCAUGCCUAGUUAACAAAUGAUGAAAGUUUUCAAAAAACAUGCUCCGCGCCAGUAUUAUAGUUAUCAUUUUGCAGUAAAUAUGUAACUGCACUUGGUAUAUAUAUCCAUCUGCCCCUGGAAAUUUUUGGAAGUAGCCAGAUCACACCUUACAUAUGCAAAAUCUGAGAUCCUCUGCAGGUUCUUGUCCUCCAUUAGUCUUUUGUUAUCAUCAAAUUAUCAUUGGCCCAUGAAUCUUGCAUGCAUGCAUGGGAGGGGUACUGGUCUAUAUAUAACUUUUUCCAUGGCAUUCGUCUCGGACCCUGGUUAUUUGUUACUUCAUGUCAAUACGAAUCACUUUGCUGCAUCUCUAGUGAAGUAAUCCACCACUGUCAACUGUAUUGUAUUAAGUUAUAGUGCCCUAUCUUAAUUAUAAAAUUCAACCUUGCAAAAACACUAGCGUCAUAAGAUAAAUUUCCACAGUGAUUUUGAUCCCCCACCGUAUUGCUCAUCAUCAAUUAGUAUAUGAUAAUCCGAGGAGAUAUCUUUUACACCAAAGCGUGUUAUAAACUCUGGUUAGAUGAAUACAUGAGCUUAGCUGGGGCAAUUGAGGGUUAAAUAUUGAAUAAGUAAACUAGGGGAAUUACAUAUAUUCGACUUAAAAGGUGACUGGAAGCUCAAACCAAUUACAACACUACAUCCUCGUGCAUUGCCACUAGGUUGCAUUGGUGUCUCUGCAUGGUUAACAAUUACUACCAGUCUGCAGUUGUUUUACCCAUGUAUGGAGUCUAUUUAUGCUAAAUCCAUUUUGCAGUAUGGCUUCAAUAAAUAUGCUUCCACUUAACUACUAUGUGUAUCCACGUUCCAAAUUUGAUAUAAAUGAGAGCAUUUGAAAAGCCACCACUCUUCAUUUUUAACAUUAUUGUUGUGCGUGCAGUUUUAACAAAUUACUGUUCUAAGCUAUACAUAUAAUAUCCAGCUUUAGAGCCUCUUAUUGUCGCAUUGUGUUAACCUGUGUUUUUAUUUGAAUUUUCACCGGGGAGGAGGGGAAAGCCCCUCAAGCACCUGAAUAUAUUCAAUCGAAUUUGCCUAGAAGCCUCAUGGCUCCAUACAAGAUAGGUUUAAGUGAACAAGAGUACAUGGAGAAAAACAAGAGAAGAGACAUAAUCGAAAAUACAAACGCACACACAAACACACACACACACACAUAUAGCCGAACCUCCGGAACACCUGCCGAGGAAAGGGCACAGAAGAAGGCCUUUCGAUGAUCCGACCGCCAUCACAAAACUCAUUAGCACAACCAGCAAGGAGGAGGACCUCAACAUACAUCUUCAUCUGACCAAGCAAGAAGAAGAGCUUGAACGUUGGCCAUCUAGUCGCCACCCAACAACACCCCGCGAGGUAGAGGUGUCAUAUGGGAACGAGGUGAUCCAUUGAGUAGGAUAACGCCCCCGCUAACUAGUAAAAGAAUUAAUACUGCUAGCUUUUAUACAUUUUCUCAGAAGAUUUGAGUGGCACAUGAUGUAUAUUGUAGGCUAGGUGCAUGCACGAAUAAGCUAUGUGUUGGAUACACCCAUACAUGUGAUCACAGAAAGGAAUCAAGGGCAUUGCAUUGUUAGCAAUCUACAAUUUGAAGUAAAUCCACAGGAGACAAUAAACUGUAUGUUGAGUAA